rnacentral:tRNA from 1 species
GGCGCUAUCGUCUAGCCUGAUCUAGGACGUCACCCUCUCACGGUGAAGACACGGGUUUAAAUCCCGUUAGCGCUA